GGGUAUAGUUCAGUUGGUAGAACGACGGUCUCCAAAACCGUGGGUCGCGGGUUCGAAUCCUCCUGCCC
rnacentral:tRNA from 1 species